UGGGGAAUUUUGGACAAUGGGCGCAAGCCUGAUCCAGCAAUGCCGCGUGCAGGAAGAAGGCCUUCGGGUUGUAAACCGCUUUUGUCAGGGAAGAAACAAGUUUCUCUAAUACAGAGACUUAAUGACGGUACCUGAAGAAUAAGCACCGGCUAACUACGUGCCAGCAGCCGCGGUAAUACGUAGGGUGCGAGCGUUAAUCGGAAUUACUGGGCGUAAAGCGUGCGCAGGCGGUUAUAUAAGACAGAUGUGAAAUCCCCGGGCUCAACCUGGGACCUGCAUUUGUGACUGUAUAGCUAGAGUACGGUAGAGGGGGAUGGAAUUCCGCGUGUAGCAGUGAAAUGCGUAGAUAUGCGGAGGAACACCGAUGGCGAAGGCAAUCCCCUGGACCUGUACUGACGCUCAUGCACGAAAGCGUGGGGAGCAAACA
rnacentral:rRNA from 1 species